rnacentral:rRNA from 1 species
AUACGUAGGGGGCGAGCGUUGUCCGGAAUGAUUGGGCGUAAAGGGCGCGUAGGCGGCCCGGUAAGUCUGGAGUGAAAGUCCUGUUUUUAAGAUGGGAAUUGCUUUGGAUACUGUCGGGCUUGAGUGCAGGAGAGGUAAGUGGAAUUCCCAGUGUAGCGGUGAAAUGCGUAGAGAUUGGGAGGAACACCAGUGGCGAAGGCGACUUACUGGACUGUAACUGACGCUGAGGCGCGAAAGUGUGGGGAGCAAACAGGAUUAGAUACCCUGGUAGUCCACACUGUAAACGAUGAAUGCUAGGUGUAGGGGGUAUCGACCCCUUCUGUGCCGCAGUCAACACAAUAAGCAUUCCGCCUGGGGAGUACGAUCGCAAGAUUGAAACUCAAAGGAAUUGACGGGG